AGAGUUUGAUCAUGGCUCAGGGUUAACGCUGGCGGCGUGCCUAACACAUGCAAGUCGAACGGUUCUAAGCGCGAGCUUAGGAUAGUGGCGAACGGGUGAGUAAAAGGUAGGAAUCUACCCCUUGGACGGAGAUAGCUACUGGAAACGGUAGGUAAACUUCGAUAAGCCCGAGAGGGGAAAGUGGUGAGACAGCCGAGGGAUGAGCCUACUCUCCAUCAGGUAGUUGGUGAGAUAAAAGCUUACCAAGCCGAUGACGGAUAACCGGUGUGAGAGCAUGAACGGUCACAAGGGCACUGAGAGACGGGCCCUACUCCUACGGGAGGCAGCAGUGGGGAAUCUUGGACAAUGGGCGAAAGCCUGAUCCAGCGACGCCGCGUGGAGGAAGAAGUCCUUCGGGAUGUAAACUUCUGAACUAGCCGAAUAAAAGGCCUGUGGACACACAGGAGAAGAAAGUAGGCUAGGAAAAGUCCCGGCUAACUACGUGCCAGCAGCCGCGGUAAGACGUAGGGGGCAAGCGUUACCCGGAAUUACUGGGCGUAAAGGGGGCGUAGGCGGUAAAAGAAGUCAUCUGUGAAAACCUAUUGCUCAACGAUAGGCUAGCGGAUGAAACUGAAUUACUUGAGGGCACCAGAGGUAGACGGAAUUACCCGAGUAGGGGUGAAAUCCGCAGAUACGGGUAGGAACGCCGGUGGAGAAGUCGGUCUACUGGGGUGCACCAGACGCUGAGGCCCGAAAGCUAGGGGAGCAAACCGGAUUAGAUACCCGGGUAGUCCUAGCCGUAAACGAU
rnacentral:rRNA from 1 species